GUGUCAGCCGCCGCGGUAAUACGUAGGCAGCAAGCGUUGUUCGGAGUUACUGGGCGUAAAGGGUGUGUAGGCGGUUCUUUAAGUUUGGUGUGAAAUCUCCCGGCUCAACUGGGAGGGUGCGCCGAAUACUGAGGGACUAGAGUACGGGAGAGGAAAGUGGAAUUCCUGGUGUAGCGGUGAAAUGCGUAGAUAUCAGGAGGAACACCGGUGGUGUAGACGGCUUUCUGGACCGUAACUGACGCUGAGACACGAAAGCGUGGGUAGCAAACAGGAUUAGAAACCCCCGUAGUCC
rnacentral:rRNA from 1 species